AAUCAACGCUGGCGGCGUGCCUCAGACAUGCAAGUCGAACGCGAAAUUUCCCUUCGGGGAGAGAGUAGAGUGGCGCACGGGUGAGUAACACGUAGGUAAUUUGCCUUUGGGUGGGGAAUAACUCAGGGAAACUUGAGCUAAUACCGCAUAAUGCAGCGGCUCGACAUCGAGACAGUUGUUAAAGCGGGGGAUUGGAGCAAUCCGACCUCGCGCCUAAAGAGAAGCCUGCGGCAGAUUAGCUAGUUGGUAAGGUAAUGGCUUACCAAGGCGACGAUCUGUAACCGGCCUGAGAGGGCGGUCGGUCACACUGACACUGACAUACGGGUCAGACUCCUACGGGAGGCAGCAGUCGGGAAUUUUGGGCAAUGGGCGCAAGCCUGACCCAGCAACGCCGCGUGAAGGAUGAAAUUUUUCGGAAUGUAAACUUCGCAAGAACAGGAAGAAUAAGUGUGGGACAAUACCCACAUGAUGACGGUACUGUUUGUAAGCUCGGCUAACUCCGU
rnacentral:rRNA from 1 species